CAAAUAAUAACAACUGUAAUAUUGAGUAUUUCUACUAUGACUCAAAGAAACCAAACUGUCCUUUUACUUCAGCGAUCAUAAACACAGUGGAAAACACCAGGGUCCCGUUUAAAAAGCGGGGUUACCUAGCAACCUAGACCAUCAUGCCAACGAGGUAACUUUGGUUGAGUCAAAGCCGCGUGGAGUUGAGCAUGAGCGCGAGUGAAUAAGAAGCCCUGACCAACAGAUUCACCAUGGCAACGACAGUAAGAAGCCUCGAAGUGCGCAAUAUUAAUGACCGCGUAGGGAGAACAUCGUAUUUAAGAAGAAAAGCAAAACUGUCGCUGCUGCAAAAAAGCAGAGACCAAGUCAGUGCGUGCAACCCAGCAGGCACAAAAAGGACGUGGCAGCAAAUAAAUAUGAAAUAUAAACAUCCAGUUAAAUCAGCUCCCUGUGAAACAGCUGUACAAGGUGUACUUUCAACAAAACGUGGAAUCAGAAAGGAAGACCUGAAAAUCAGGUAUAGAAACUGAAAAAAAAAAAUGCAUUGGAUUUACUCAAUGCAAUAGUGGACAUUGGUUGCACACAAUGUUUUUACUUUGGCAACAAUCUACACUGUUGUGUUCAUUUAACACAAAUUUGUUAUAUUCAGUAAACACAAGUAUUUUAUGUUGCUACAAAAUGAUUAAAAUGUGUUUGAAUAAAUUAAGUUCUGCAAUCAUUUCACUUUUGUCAUUUGACUUCAACACAACUCAAUCAUUUUAUUACAACACAAUUUGAUUACUUAA